GGACUACUGGGGUUUCUAAUCCUGUUUGCUCCCCACGCUUUCGUGUCUCAGCGUCAGUGCUAACCCAGGGGGCUGCCUUCGCCAUCGGUGUUCCUCCAGAUCUCUACGCAUUUCACUGCUACACCUGGAAUUCCACCCCCCUCUGCCGCACUCUAGCCUCGUAGUUUCCAACGCAGUUCCCAAGUUAAGCUCGGGGAUUUCACAUCGGACUUUCGAAACCGCCUGCACACGCUUUACGCCCAGUAAUUCCGAUUAACGCUUGGACCCUACGUAUUACCGCGGCUGCUGGCAC
rnacentral:rRNA from 1 species